UGGCUGUCAAUGUCAAGAUACUAGGUGAAGACGUGUCAUAGGUGUAGAACGCUUGCUCAAACCGGUGGCAGGAGCGAGGGGUCACUUUGUACACACCAGGCUUGGACAGGCAGAAUCGGUUGACUCCUUUGGAGAGGUUAUAAAUCCCCACAUUCUCACGCCCAUUUCCAUCCUGAUAAAAUUCCAGAGUGAUGGCGUGAGACAGGGAACAUCUCAGCAUGUAGCCCGUCUGCCUGAACUCAACUGCAG
rnacentral:misc_RNA from 1 species